rnacentral:rRNA from 1 species
UACGGAGGGAGCUAGCGUUGUUCGGAUAUACUGGGCGUAAAGCGCACGUAGGCGGCGUCGUAAGUCAGAGGUGAAAGCCCGGAGCUCAACUCCGGAACUGCCUUUAAGACUGCAUCGCUAGAAUUGUGGAGAGGUGAGUGGAAUUCCGAGUGUAGAGGUGAAAUUCGUAGAUAUUCGGAAGAACACCAGUGGCGAAGGCGACUCACUGGACACAUAUUGACGCUGAGGUGCGAAAGCGUGGGGAGCAAACAGG